AGUGAACGCUGGCGGCGUGCCUAAUACAUGCAAGUCGAACGGAGUGGCGCACGGGGGAGUAAUGUAUAGCUAAUCUGCCCUACACUAGAGGACAACAGUUGGAAACGACUGCUAAUACUCUAUAGUGUAGGAUGAGGCGAUAUUGGAUCAGCUAGUUGGUGAGGUAAUGGCUCACCAAGGCUAUGACGCAUAACUGGUCUGAGAGGAUGAGCAGUGAAACUGGAACUGAGAAACCGUCCAGAAACCUACGGGAGGCAGCAGUAGGGAAUAUUGCUAAAUGGGGGCAACCCUGAAGCAGCGACGCCGCGUGGAGGAUGACACUUUUCGGAGCGUAAACUCCUUUUGGUAGGGAAGCGGUACCUAACGAAUAAGCACCGGCUAACUCCGUGCCAGCAGCCGCGGUAAUUC
rnacentral:rRNA from 1 species